CCGCGUCCCUCCGUUUGUGCUUCGACGCCACGGUCCUCGCUGCGCAUGUUCGCGGGGUCUCUUCCUUGCAUUCCUAGAAAUUAAUAGGCGCUUGGAGGUGGAGAAAAAAAUCACCGCGUCCGCACCCUUUCCAUUUGUGCUUCGACGCCAGGGUGCUCGCUGUGCAAGUUCACGGCGUCUCUUCAUUGCAUUUGUAGAAAUUAAUAAACGCUUGGAGGUGGAGGAGACAAUCGCCGCUUCCGCGCACUUUCCAUUUGUGCUUCGACGCCGCGGCGCUCGCUGUGUAUGUUCGCGGCGUCUCUUCUUUGCAUUUGUAGAAAUUAAUAGGCGCCUGGAGGUGGAGAAGAGAAUGGCCGCGUCCGCACCCUUUCCAUUUGUGCUUCGACGCCACGGUGCUCGAUGUGCAUGUUCGCGGGGUCUCUUCCUUGCAUUUCUAGAAAAUAAUAGGCGCUUGGAGGUGGAGAAGAAAAUCACCGCGUCCGCACCCUUUCCAUUUGUGCUUCGACGCCAGGGUGCUCGCUGUGCAAGUUCGCGGCGUCUC
rnacentral:lncRNA from 1 species